UUUUUACUGAAGCACAAUCAAACUGGGCCGUGUGGUUGUUUCCAAACUUCUCCACUUCACGACUCCCUUUGAAGCUGCCGCCUGUAUGCGUGCCCAGGGAAGCAUGGCGAACGUCCUCGUCGUCACCACCGCAGGAGCAAGCCAGGGAUGACACACGCUUCUGUGAUGGCUGCUGCACGAAUAUUCAUUGUUUCUGAAAGGGCACUUUACCAUAGCCUCUUCAGCAUAGCGAACAGAACUUGAUAGGCACUCUCUGAAAAGGAAAAGGAUGUUUACUAAGACUUCUGAGAUUAACCAUACCUGCAAAACAUAUGCAAGCAAUCCCUCAACAGGACCCCUUGGCCAGGCUCUAUGCCUAGAAAGCAAACUGAACACUCAAAUGCUUCCAUGCUUGGUACCAAGUCUUGUUCAUCAAGUUCGACAAGCCGCAUGUAGUCUUGGG